rnacentral:tRNA from 1 species
GCCUGGGUAGCUCAGGGGAUAGAGCAAUAGUUUCCUAAACUAUUGGUCGCCAGUUCGAAUCUGGCCUCGGGCACCA